CGGUAAGAUGACUGAAUUAAUAGGUGAUAGACUGUAAAUCUAUUUAUGAGAAUUUUUCUCUCUUACCA
rnacentral:tRNA from 1 species